GUGCUCACUUUGGCAGAACAUAUACUAAAGUUGGAAUGAUGCAAAGAAGAUUAGCAUGGCCCCUGCGUGAGGAUGACACACAAAUUUGUGAAGUGUUCCAUGUCGUU
rnacentral:snRNA from 1 species